CUUCAGCCUCCCAAAGUACUAGGAUUAUAGGCAUGCGCUACCAUGCCCAGUCUGCUCACAUAUUUAUAAUGCAUUUCCUGUUAAGCUGAUCAAAUAAGCAUGUUCCUAUUUCUGAAUGCUGAGAUGAAGACAGCAUGAAAUAAAAGAAAAUCAGAUGGCUUUGCAGACACUGCUGCUUCCCGGAGUCACCUGCUACCAACCAUGGUCAACCCCACCGUGUUCUUCGAUAUUGCUGUCAAUGGCGAGCCCUUGGGCCACAUCUCCUUUGAGCUAUUUGCAGACAAAGUUCCAAAGACAGCAGAAAACUUUCAUGCUCUGAGCACUGGAGAGAGAGGAUUUGGUUAUAAGGGUUCCUGUUUUCACAGAAUUAUUCCAGGGUUUAUGUGCCAGGGUGGUGACUUCACACGCCAUAAUGGCACUGGUGGUAAGUCUAUCUACGGGGAGAAAUUUGAGGAUGAGAACUUGAUCCUGAAGCAUACAGGUCCUGGCAUCUUGUCCAUGGCAAAUGCUGGGCCCAACACAAAUGGUUCCCAGUUUUUCAUCUGCACUGCCAAGACUGAGUGGUUGGAUGGCAAGCAUGCGGUCUUCGGCAAGGUGAAAGAGAGCAUGAAUAUUGUGGAAGCCAUGGAGUGCUUUGGGUCCAGGAAUGGCAAGACCACCAAGAAGAUCACCAUUGCUGACUGUGGACAACUCUAAUAAAUUUGACUUAAAUGUUUUAUCUUAACCAUCAUACCAUUCCUUCUGUAGCUCAGAACACCCCUCUACCCCAUUUGCUCGCAAUAUCCUAUAAUCUUUGUGCUCUCGGUGCAGUUCUUUGGGUUCCCAUAUUUUCCUUAUUCCCCUCCACAUCUAGCUGGAUUGCAGAGUUAAGUUUAUGAUUAUGAAAUAAAAACUAAAUAACAA